ensembl:lncRNA
CUGGAUCACAUAGCUUUCUUGGCUGGGCUAAGAGACUGAGUGAGGCCCUGAUCUCUGCUGCAAAGCUUGUUUUCCCAGGGCCUCACAGUGACAUGACUGAGAAGCAACAAGAAAAACACUUGCUAAAGUUGCAUAGCUCAUACAUUCACUUUGGAAGCAAAGCCUGAAACUCAGUUCCCAUUAUUCCUGUUUUGAAGUUCCCCUGAUGGGCUGAGCCAGGGCAUUCAGCUGCCUUUUCAGGAGUGAAUAAAGGGCUGUGUGGUGUUUAGCUGCGUGCUGCGUUAAACGACAACACCCGGUAAUCUGUGAGAGGGAGGAGUCCGUGGUUUCGGUAGAUCCUUCCAGUGGUCAGAGUAAAAGAACAAAUUGCUGGCCAUUUUGUCUACAGUGCUUGACUACAAAGGUUUUGGGGACAAUUCAUGCUUUUAACGUAGAAGUGGUAUGAGUUUUCUAUCAGCAAGCUUUGUACCUUGAAGGUCUCCUGAGUGUACUGAUGCCAUCCCCUCCAGGAAAGGUAGCACAAUGCCUAACUUAGCUGUUGGGCUGCAACACAACCUUCACUUUUGUCAUGGACUGCUAAUUGAAAACCCACUCAAGAUAAAGGAACUGAAUCUUUGCGUUGCAAGAGUUUGGGUCUGGUUUAUGGAAUGCUAUGGGAGUCCCAUGCCAGGGACAAUUCCAGCGACUGGAUGGUACAAACAAUUUAACUACGGAGAUAAGGUACACUGUUGCACAGUGUUUAAUUCACCAGCACUGGAAUAAACGGGGGAUAGCCAAGACCCAGCCCAUGGAUGCAGAGCAAAGUGGCAUCUGGAUAAUGGAGUUUAAAAAAUACCAAGGCACAACAUUCUGUUUGGCUCUGCCUAUCAGCAGGAAUAUAUUUUCUUCAGGAAAACAGACACCAAUCUGCUGUGUCUUUCACUGGCACUGGGGGCUAGCACACAUUACCUUCAGUCCUUGGGCUACCUACAGUCUGUCCGUCUUCCAUUUAUUCUUUUGUAUGUGUGAACUACCUCCAAUCAUUUCUGAUCUAAGUAUGAAUUACUGACAUAAGUUAACUAGGAGAGUAACAUACAGCAAAUAAUAAACAGACGAUGAGCUUUUGGGUACAAAUUUUAUGAAACAUAAAUAUUCAUGCUGGUGUUUAUGCACACAGGAGCUGAGAGCAUUUCCUCUGCUAUCUAGAAGAUGUAUAAAAACUUUGUAUGUUUCUGAUUGCAUUUUCUUGUUGCUUUUACUUUUCUCUUUGAGAUCAGCUCUGUGUUCUCUAU